GAUGAACGCUGGCGGUCUGCUUAACACAUGCAAGUCGAACGGAAUCCUUCGGGCUCUAGUGGCGGACGGGUGAGUAACACGUGAGAAUCUGCACUCAGGAUGGGGACAACAGAGGGAAACUGCUGCUAAUACCCAAUGUGCCGAAAGGUCAAAGGUUUAUCGCCUGAGAAUGAGUUCGCGGCCGACUAGUUAGUUGGUGGGGUAAUGGCCUGCCAAGAAGGUGAUGGGUAGCCGGUCUGAGAGGAUGAGCCGCCACACUGGGGCUGAGACACGGCCCAGACGCAUACGGGAGGCAGGAGUGGGGAAUUUUCCGCAAUGGGCGCAAGCCUGACGGAGCAAGACCGCGUGGGGGAGGAAGGCUCUUGGGUUGUGAACCCCUUUUCUCAAGGAAGAACAAAAUGACGGUACUUGAGGAAUCAGCCUCGGCUAACUCCGUGCCAGCAGCCGCCGUAAUAC
rnacentral:rRNA from 1 species